GUUGAUGCUGUAUUCAUCUCUGAGACUGUCUCAUUGGUCAAAGUCAGAUUACACUGAAAGCACGAUGGCUGCAUUCACAUGGAUUCAAAUGUCUUCAUUACUGAUACUGAUGCUUCAGUUUAAAGCUGAUGUUUUUUCUUGCGAGAUGACUCUGAUGACUACUUUGGUCACAAAAGUUUUGCAGUGACUGAGUUUAAACCCUGCAGACACUGAGCCUGGUCCAGGAACCAGUCAGGAGAUGGUAAGAUCACACCAUACUACCAGUUCAAAGUGUUAUGUUUAGGUCAACAGAGAAGAGGCAGGAGCCAUGAUGUGAUGAGCAUAAGCUGAAAAUGGAUUUACUUAAAUAAAUGUGAAACUCACCUGUUAUAAAUCCACAUAUUACUGAGCAGUCAUUAUGUUGUCUUCACUGUGAAGAAUGAAGAUGAUGAUGGUGUUUCGUACGUCUCUAUCAGCUUCACAAAGAAAACCAAGAAUAAAACCCAGGAAUGAUUUUGAUAUUUACAGAGAUGAUGUUAGCAGGAAGCUUGUGGUUUUAAAGCUCCUGCCAGGUUUAUGUAUUUAAUAACACAUAAUGUUUACUUAUAGUCAUGUGGUGGUGAUGAUGAUCAUGAUGAUGAUGAUGGUAGCGACAGUGUGACUUACAUCACUGUGAAAGCUUCCUCCUUUCCCACUGGAGUUCCCACUCAUCCCAGCGACCUCUCUUCCACCACGGACAAACCAAAGAAACAGUAUGUUGCUAAUGAAAGGUCGCGUGCUGUUUUUCCUUGAUGCUGAUGAAUGUUUGUUUGAUAGAGUAACUUCCUUUUUCUUCCCUUUGAAAAAUAUAUCUGGUAUAAAGUUAUACACAUCACCUGUCAUGUUUUUAAAAAGAAAAUUACUGUUGUUUAGUUUAAGCACAUUAUUAGAGCUAAAUAUUCAUCUUUAAUUUGAUGCCUUCACAGAACGCUUUGAUUAAAC
ensembl:lncRNA